UGUUUUUCGAUAAAUGGGCUCUUUCAUUUGCUAUCAGUUCUUCUGCAGAUCAGAAUAGCCAGGAAAUGAAGUGUGGUCUUUUCUUUUUUUUUCUUUUGUAUUUUUUUUUCUCUUUAAAGAUGUUGCUGAUUGUCUUAACGGCCUGCAUGGAAUCAAAGGACUUUUCAUCAACAAAGACACAUAAUCAGACCAAAAAUGUCCUGUGAGAAGCUCUACCAUGUUGUCCCGUUCCUUUAUCAACAUAUCAAUAUGAAAAUGGCAGCUAUUUUGAGAGAGAACUCACAAUAUGUUCUAACAAUCCAAAUGAAUCUACUAGAUGAAAAGAGUUGGGGAUACACUCUAAACAAUCUUGUUCAGGUCUAACAUUUUGUCUUGUCUUGUAAAAUCUUCAGGAAAGGCCUCAAAGUCUAAAUCGCUUCUAUCAAUGUUUGUGAAAUAAAACAAGAAAUAUCCUAGAAUCCACAGUUGUUAUAUAUAUUUUACCUUAAACAAAUAUUUUAUAUGUUCA